UCUGGAGUUUCCUGCCCCAGCGUAGAGAUCCUGCCAUUCCUUCACAGGCUCGCCAUUCUCUGGUGAGCCACCUUGUGUUAAUGGGGUACCUGGAUCCAGAACCCACAUAAGGACCAAUCCUUCUCCCUUGCAGUUCUCCCAGAGACAUUGCAUACCAGGACACCUUUGGUCCCAGUGUGACACUUCCCAGGAGAUCCUCCACCCUUCCCUCGUGUAGACCAACUUGUCCCAGCUUCCCAGGCUUUAAUCUCAGAUCUCUCUGCACACAGAGCCCAAAGCCUGUCUGCCACCUGCAGAUGGUGACGGUUGGCCCAGCCCAGCACCACUCUCAGGCUUCCGAAGGAGACCUGUCCUCCUGGAUGACCACAAGAGCCAAUGCCAGCCUGCUCUGCUCCUUGAUUGCAACUUCCUUCUCUAAACUCAGAGGACAUUAGACUCACUAAGGUGUCCCGGUGAGCCCCGAUCUCUGCUCUAGUCUAUUGGUGAGCAUGGCGUGGGUUCUGUUCUCUUCCUUGCCAAGCUUUUUGGGGCCCUUGGGCACAACCUGGAAUGUGGAAGUCACUCUUGCAAGGGGCUGGGCCGGCAUCUGGUGCCUGAAGUUUGCCCUUGUCUGUGCUGUGCUCUUUCUAUCAAGAGUCUCCACUCCGAGAGUGGGCUCGCAGGACAGUUGGGACUUGUCCCAGACUGUCUUGGAGGUGAUCGAGAACUUCAUAACAGGUAGCUGGUGUUUGCCAUGUGUGGACUGUGGUGCUGGAAGGAGCCGGGGCUGUUGCACUGGGAGAGUGGAAGUGGUAUUUCCAGGCCCUCUCCCCACAGAGCAUGGCCCAGGGCACCACUGAGGAGUACCUGCUGCUUCCUCCCAGCACCUCCUGGCUGACCCCAAAUGAGGUCCACACUGCACUCAAGUCAGACAAGCACAUUUUGCAGCCUCUGGAAAAGUGGGGGUCUUGGGCUCCAUCAAUAUAGCCUCUGCGUUUGUGCAGGGGACCAAGACAAGGUCCUCCUGGAGUCCAGCAUGGCACCAAGGGGAGAAGGAUGCCAGCACAGCCACCCUGCCAGCCUGAGACCUGUGCCCUGCUGGCUGCUGUUGGGCUUCUGGCUAAAUGGCCCUUUCCCUGCACAGGAGCUGGGAUGGGGCUGUGUCUGGGUUCACACUUGACACACACACACACACACGCACACGCACACGCACACGCGCACACGUAACAAUUCUCGUGUCCACACAGUACGUACUAGCAGGACCCCACCCAGCCCAUUUUGGGUUUUCCGUCUCCGCGCACCACCUUCCCCAGCCAGGAGCGCUGCAUGCUUCCCUCCUCCCCACCGCCAAUCUGUCACCGAGGCCCGAGGGUCCCACCCCAAAAUAGCUUCCUCGUCUGCGUCCCUCCCCCCUUGCAACACCCCGGCUUCAAGGAUUCCUGCCCGGAGGCUGGGCCCCGCCCCCGCCAGCACCAGCGCGCUUUCCCUGCGAUGGGAAGAGGCUCUUAGGUGCUGCUUGUUCUUUAAAAAAAAAAAAUCAUUGGCUUCCUAGUGCCACGCAGCCUCCCCGGAGUGGGCUGUCGCAGCACACGAGUCCUCAGAAAAACCCUAAAAAAGAAAUGCUGCGCUCCGGUGUCUUGGGGAGAUGCCGCAGGUGGGGGGCGCAGCCUCACUGUUGUGGAGGUGGGGCAGCGUUUCCUGCAGCUCAGACAGAGGACUCCCACCCUGGCCGUGCCUCCCUCCCCGCACCCCUUUUGUGCCCAGUCUGCACCCGCUACCUGGGUGUGUUGGCCUGCUCCUCCUCGAUUUCUCCUUCUUUAAAAUUUUUAUUUAUAUCGCUGCAUGUCUGCCCGGCAAAUCAACUACAUUCCGCGUCCUCUUGAUCCUCUUUUAUCUCUUUCCCCUCAUCUCCCUCCCUCUUCCUUCCGGUUCUGGCCCCUUCUCUUUUACAGAAGCUCAGUCUCCCUCUUUCCUACUGUCUGUCUUCUAUUUUGUCUUAUUUACACUUUGGGUUUUUCAUAUAAGGGACCACAGUUUACAGUGACCCAUGCAUGCCCAUGUUUAUAGCAGCACAAUUCAUGGUAGCUAAACCUUGGAAGUGACCUGCACGUGGUCCAACAGAUGAAAGAUUACAGAAAACAUGGCAUUUACGCAUAAUAGUGUACCUCUCUGCCAUAAAGAAGGGUAAACUUAAAAGCUGCGUUUGCCUUAAAAAGAAAAAAAAAGCUCUUCACUUGGGGUCUACAGAUGCCCACUGGGUAAAUGAAAGCAGAACCAAGCUGGA